rnacentral:rRNA from 1 species
UGAAUACGAGAUGCUACGGCGUCGAAGCAGUGUAUGUCAGACUUCCAAGAAAAGCUCGCAAUGUCAUAAAUAAAGAAUGCCUGUACCAUAACCGACACAGGUGGGUAGGUAGAGUAUACUAAGGGGCGCGAGAUAACUCUCUCUAAGGAACUCGGCAAAAUAACUCCGUAACUUCGGGAGAAGGAGUGCCUUCUUUAAGAAGGUUGCAAUAACAAGAUCCAAGCAACUGUUUAUCAAAAACACAGGUCUCCGCUAAGUCGUAAGACGAUGUAUGGGGGCUGACGCCUGCCCAGUGCCAGAAGGUUAAAGAAGCUGGUUAGCAAUAGCGAAGCUGGUGACUGAAGCCCUGGUGAACGGCGGCCGUAACUAUAACGGUCCUAAGGUAGCGAAAUUCCUUGUCGGGUAAGUUCCGACCCGCACGAAAGGCGUAAUGAUUUGGAUACUGUCUCGGAGAGGGACUCGGUGAAAUAGACUUGUCUGUGAAGAUGCGGACUGCCUGCACCAGGACAGAAAGACCCUAUGAAGCUUUACUGUAACCUGAAAUUGAAAUUGGACUUUAUUUGCGCAGUAUAGGUGGGAGGCGUUGAAAGUAAUCUUGCGGGAUUAGUGGAGCCAUCAGUGAGAUACCACUCCUAUAAUGUUAGAUUUCUAACUUUGGAUCAUGAUCUGGUCAAAGAACAGUUUCAGGCGGGCAGUUUGACUGGGGCGGUCGCCUCCCAAAUGGUAACGGAGGCGUACAAAGGUUUCCUCUGAACGGGUAGAAAUCGUAUCUAGAGUGUAAAGGCAUAAGGAAGCUUGACUGUGAGACCUACAAGUCGAGCAGGGACGAAAGUCGGUCUUAGUGAUCUGACGGUGCUGAGUGGAAAGGCCGUCACUCAACGGAUAAAAGUUACUCUAAGGAUAACAGGCUGAUCUCCCCCAAGAGUUCACAUCGACGGGGAGGUUUGGCACCUCGAUGUCGGCUCAUCGCAUCCUGGGGCGGUAGUACGUCCCAAGGGUUGGGCUGUUCGCCCAUGAAAGCGGUACGCGAGCUGGGUUCAGAACGUCGUGAGACAGUUCGGUCCAUAUCCGGUGUAGGCGUUAGAAUAUCGAGAGGAGCCUUCUCUAGUACGAGAGGACCGAGAAGGACAUACCUCUGGUGUACCAGUUAUCGUGCCAACGGUAAACGCUGGGUAGCUAUGUAUGGAGAGGAUAACCGCUGAAAGCAUCUAAGUGGGAAGCCCACCUCAAGAUGAGUAUUCUCAUC